AUUUUUAAAAAGUCUAAAAAUGUAUUUAUUUAGCAUACAUGUUCCUAUAUAAGUCACUGGGAAGGUUUUGAGGAUAAUUUAAUUCAAGUUAUCAAAGUUAUUUUACUGUAAUGAAGAUCAGGUGAUGUAUUGGCAAAUGGAAACAUUCUAGUAGGAGUAAAGAAUCAUUUCUGCUCUGAACAUGCUGGGAUAAUUACUUCAAUGGACCAAUCUUGGAAAUACAUAAUAAUAAAAAAGAGCCAAAAAUCUUUUGCAAAAUCUUUGUAUUUUCAUUUUUCUAACAGCCUAAUGGUUGUGCUUUCACUUAAUGGUUAGUUCUGUUUCUCUAAGGUGUGUAGCUUUAAUGCAAAAGUUGGGAUUAAGAUCUAGCCCAUCAAAUUACAUUUGUACUAUGGUGCAGUAGUUUCUGUCAUAAUAGAACAGCCAUUGCAGUACAUGAAUGCCGGUGUUUCUGUAGGAGCAUAUUUGCAUGUUCCUGCGGCUGCAUUAUCUUUCUCUAUUUUUGUGUUGGGCCUCUUUAGAUUGGUGCCACUCACACCAUAACUACCUUUUCUGGAAUGAGAAGGUAAGCAAACUUGCUAUACAUCACCUCUGUCCAUGGCUACCUCGUCUGUCUCAGAGAGUGACUGACAUAGAGGUAUCAGUGAGCGUGGGCUGUGUAGUCACAGUAAGGCACUACCUCGUCUGUCUCAGAGAGUGACUGACAUAGAGGUAUCAGUGAGCGUGGGCUGUGUAGUCACAGUAAGGCACUACCUCGUCUGUCUCAGUGACUGACAUAGAGGUAUCAGUGAGCGUGGGCUGUGUAGUCACAGUAAGGCACUACCUCGUCUGUCUCAGAGAGUGACUGACAUAGAGGUAUCAGUGAGCACGGGCUGUGUAGUCACAGUAAGGCACUACCUCGUCUGUCUCAAUGACUGACAUAGAGGUAUCAGUGAGCACGGGCUGCUUGUUCCCCGUAAGGCACUUUGCUUCAGCCCAGUCUCUGGGCUUUCCUUGCUGCUGUCAGGGACAUGAGUUUCAAUGACAGCGUGGAAUCUCAUUGUGCCAUGUCCUCAGCAUGUUUUAGAUCCCAUUCAGACAUGAGUGUCUCUUCCCUUUUCUAUUAUUUUGGCCUCUGGAUGACUAUGUGUAAGUCAAGUUCCCACAGAAUACAUGGGAGAGGAAAUCUAAAUUCCAGGAGGGAAUAUGAAGAGAUGCUUAGAGCCAAGACUUUGGACAGGGACUCCUGAUAGUCUUUGUACUGGGAGACAAAGGGCCACACAGCAGAACACACUAGGGUUCUUCGAUGCUUUUGAGAAUUUUAAAAAGUACUUCAACCAGAAGUGUUACCUAUAUACAGUGGAUGGUUUAGACUGUUACCGUUUAUAGAUACAGAAUUAUGUGUUCAAACAAACAAAAAACUGACUUUUUGUAUCCAUGGGCUCAACACCUGUGUGUGUAAACAAUCAUGGUUCAAAAAUAUUCAGAAAAAUACUGCAUCUGUACUGAAUAUGCACAGACUCUCUCAUUAUUCCCUAAACAAUACAGGAUAUAACUAUUUACAAAGCUAUUACAUCGUGGUAGGUAUCAUAAACACUCCAGAUAUGACAAGGUAUGCAGAAAGUUGUGCAUAAUAUAUAUGCAAAUUACAGCAUGACGUACAAGGGUCUUGAGCAUUCGUUUGGAUAUCCUUGGGGAGUUCUGGACUCAAUCUUCCAUAGGUACAGAGAAACAACUGUAAACACAGUCCCAAGAAAUAACACCACUUGUCUUCAGUCAGAGCGUAAUGAGGACGAAAGCUACACAGGGCAUGGAGAUCAUGUGGAGAGUUUUACUGACACCUGUCUGCUGAUCAGUUGCUCACAUGUUUCCGUCCAGCCCUACCAUCUCCUGAGUGCCCUAAAUAUAUCCACACCGGCUUCCAGUGUAUUUCUGUGCAGAUAGCCAACGGAGGUCCACUAGAACUGCAAUUCAGUUUUUCUCCAUAACUUUAUUUCAUUCAGUCUUCCAAAUUUUCUCCCAUGGCCAUAUUCUGGUGGAGGAAAGUGCUGAUAUUUUCCUUCUGAAAUUACUCUUUGCAUUCAUAGUGCCUAAGCCUGACUCAGCCUUUCGGUGCUUGCCCAUCUGGUGAUAUCCUGCUCAUCGUUCCGGUUUCCUCUCAAAAUUCCCUGUCGCGUUGGAGCCCUUCUCGAUGUCAUCAGACAGAAUUGGUUGUGUUAUUCCCUAUACGCUACUAACACUUCUGAUUAAAGCACCCAUUUUAUGAUACUUGAUUCCGGUAUUUGUCUUCUACCUAUCUCCUUCCACACUAGGUUUUUAUAAUUUUUAGGAAGGGACAAUUUUCCAUUCAUUUUUCCUAGUGGUCAGAAAAGUAGAAAAAUAGGUUCUGUAUUGUGAACUUAACCUCUCUUCACUCUUCCUUCUGUCUUUGCUUAUCUACCUCUCCGUAUGUAUGUGGCUCUCUCCCUCUAUAAAUCUAUCAUUCAUCUAUAUCUCAUUUUCAACUUAUCUAUCUUGAUCUAUGUCUCUGUCUCCACACGAAGAGACAAAGACAGAUAAAUAGGUGUGGGCAUUGUGGAGUGGUGCUUUGGACCACUGCUAGGACAGCCACAUUGCCUAUCAGAGUGCCAGUUCAAGUCCCAGCUACUCUACUUCUGAUCCAGCUUCCUGCUAGUGUAGCUGGGAGACAGAACAUGAUGGCCCAAUUGCUUGGGUCCCUGCCACCCAUGUGAGUGACCCAGAUGGAAUUCCUGUCUCCUGGCUUCAGUCUGGCCCCAUCCUGGCUGUUGUGGGCAUUUGGGGAAUGCUCCAGUAAAUGGAAGAUAUCUCUCUCCUUCUCCCUCUCUCCUUCUCUCUCUCUGUCACACUAUCUUUCAAAGAAAUAAUUAUUUCUUAUAAAAAUACAGAUAUAUACAUUUAAAUUAUUUAUUUAAGUAAGGCAGACUGACAGAGAGAGGAAGGGACAGACAGAAAGAGAUCUUCCAUCUGCAGGUUUACUUCUCAAAUGGCCACAAUAGCCAGGGUUAGUCUAGUCUGGAUCAGGAACUCCAUCCAGGUCUCCUCCACAAUUUUCAGGGUCUUAAGGACCUGGCUCACUCUCUUCUGCUUUCCCAGGCACAUUAACAGGGAGCUGAAUUGGAAGUGGAGAGGUCAUGACUCAAACUGGCCCACUGAUAUGGGAUGCAGGCAUUGCAAGCAGUGACUUAGCCCACUGCACCACAACAGUGGUCCUAGAUACAUAUCUUUAUAUCAAGAUAUACAUUAUAGAGAGACAGAUAUAGCUAUAUAGAGAUAUAUAAGUAUAUAUGAUAAAUAAAUAUGAGUGUAUAUAUGUGUAGGGUGUGUAUAAUUUCUAAACCGACUUUGUGAAUGAAUGAAGCUUCGCAAGACCCCAACAAAGUUCCAUGUCAAUCAAUUGUAAUGAUGGCAGCAGCUUCUUUGGAUGCUUGAUGGUUUGUGAAUGGGCAUGUUGGGCGAGAAGAGCCACCUGGUGGGGAAACAGGGCUUGGGACACAUUUAUGCAUGGAGAAGAGGGGGCUGUGCUUCACUGUGUUCACACUAGCGGCACAGAGAUAGAGAGCCCUCUGGUUCUCGUGGGUCGAUGUCACAGCAAGAGUAAAGGAUGUCUUCCUCUCAUGGAGGGCACUGUAGCCUUCAGCCAGGUCUCCUUUUUGAACAUCUUUGACAGUUUGUGAGUAGUAGAUGAGUUUCAGUCCCUGCCCUGGGUCCUGUCGAUACCAAUACAUGACAUCGUGAUUCAAAUUCUGUUCACAUUCCAAGGUU